rnacentral:lncRNA from 1 species
UUUAACAUAAGGGCUUAAGUGUGGAAUGUGAGACUAUGCUUCAUAGCCUCAGCUUUUGUCAUUGCAACCUCAAUUUUAGCAAUCUGUUUCGGAAUCCAAAUGAGGAAAAAGAAAAACAUAUACUACUUUCUCUCUAACUUCCAUUCUCUUCAACUUCAACAAUAUGAAUCAUUUUUCACGAUUCCUUUCUACCAACAGCCACACUUACCAGCAUUCCCUUUAGCAAUCAACCAAAAACAACCAUGUUGCUCAAAUUUUGAUUCUUGAGAUAAGGUAAAGAGAUAGUGAGACUAAAAUGUCUUCGAGGCCUCCAAGAACUGUCGAAGACAUAUCCAAUCUAAAUCUAAAAAAGACAAGUUCGUCGAAGACAUAUCCAAUCUAAAAAGGACAAGUUUUCCCGCGUUCUUGUGAAACGUUCUCCAGGUCCGAAAGAAUCGAAUUUCUUCAUUAUUUUCCCAGCCAUGGGAAGAAAAAUUCCUAUAGCCGAGAGUUCUUCAAAUAAUCAUCAUCUUAUUUCAUUUUCAUUGUUAAUAGUAUGCAUUGCUGCAACAAUGGCUGUAAUUUCCUCUCUAUGUGGUUCUUUAUCACGUAAGAAACCGCCUCGCCCAUCAGAAGUUGACAAUGCCAAAACAGAAAAUUCCCAGCUAGACAUUUCAUCGAACGGAAAAGAUGCAUCCAACAAAUCACCAGGUGAAAUUGAACCUUCGGAGGCGUCGCAACCAGAGGAUGAUGAACAACAGCGGCCAUU